AAGGCCUCGCGCAAUAGGAGCGGCCGAUGUCUGAUUAGCUAGUUGGUGAGGUAAAGGCUCACCAAGGCGACGAUCAGUAGCUGGUCUGAGAGGACGAUCAGCCACACUGGGACUGAGACACGGCCCAGACUCCUACGGGAGGCAGCAGUGGGGAAUUUUGGACAAUGGGGGCAACCCUGAUCCAGCAAUGCCGCGUGUGUGAAGAAGGCCUUCGGGUUGUAAAGCACUUUUGUCCGGAAAGAAAUCCUUUGGGCUAAUACCCCGGAGGGAUGACGGUACCGGAAGAAUAAGCACCGGCUAACUACGUGCCAGCAGCCGCGGUAAUACGUAGGGUGCGAGCGUUAAUCGGAAUUACUGGGCGUAAAGCGUGCGCAGGCGGUUUUGUAAGACAGGCGUGAAAUCCCCGGGCUCAACCUGGGAAUGGCGCUUGUGACUGCAAGGCUAGAGUGCGUCAGAGGGGGGUAGAAUUCCACGUGUAGCAGUGAAAUGCGUAGAGAUGUGGAGGAAUACCGAUGGCGAAGGCAG
rnacentral:rRNA from 1 species